rnacentral:rRNA from 1 species
GAGUUUGAUCAUGGCUCAGAUUGAACGCUGGCGACAUGCCUUACACAUGCAAGUCGAACGGCAGCACGGGAGCUUGCUCCUGGUGGCGAGUGGCGAACGGGUGAGUAAUGCAUCGGAACGUAUCCUGGAGUGGGGGAUAACGUAGCGAAAGUUACGCUAAUACCGCAUAUUCUGUGAGCAGGAAAGCGGGGGACCUUCGGGCCUCGCGCUCUUGGAGCGGCCGAUGUCGGAUUAGCUAGUUGGUGAGGUAAAGGCUCACCAAGGCGACGAUCCGUAGCAGGUCUGAGAGGAUGAUCUGCCACACUGGAACUGAGACACGGUCCAGACUCCUACGGGAGGCAGCAGUGGGGAAUUUUGGACAAUGGGGGCAACCCUGAUCCAGCCAUGCCGCGUGAGUGAAGAAGG